CCUACGGGAGGCAGCAGUAGGGAAUAUUGCUCAAUGGGGGAAACCCUGAAGCAGCAACGCCGCGUGGAGGAUGAAGGUUUUCGGAUUGUAAACUCCUUUUGUUAGAGAAGAUAAUGACGGUAUCUAACGAAUAAGCACCGUCUAACUCCGUGCCAGCAGCCGCGGUAAUACGGAGGAUGCAAGCGUUACUCGGAAUCACUGGGCGUAAAGAGCGCGUAGGCGGGAUAGCAAGUCAGAUGUGAAAUCCUAUGGCUUAACCAUAGAACUGCAUUUGAAACUGUUAUUCUAGAGUAUGGGAGAGGUAGGUGGAAUGCUUGGUGUAGGGGUAAAAUGCGUAGAGAUCAAGAAGAAUACUCAUUGCGAAGGCGGCCUGCUAGGACAUGACUGACGCUGAUGCGCGAAAGCGUGGGGAGCAAACAGGAUUAGAUACCCGGGUAGUC
rnacentral:rRNA from 1 species